GAUGAACGCUGGCGGCGUGCCGAAUACAUGCAAGUCUGUCGAACAGACUAGCAGAUUGCGCCUCUGACGUUAGCUGCGGACGGGCGAGUAACACGUGACUAACCUACCUAUAAGACUGGGAUUACUUCGAGAAACCUGAGCUAAUACCUGAUAAUAUUUCGAUCGGCUGGAUUCAAGAGUCAAAGACGGUUUUGCUGUCACUUAUAGAUGGAUCCGCGCCGCUUUAGCUAGUUGGGAAGGGGAAGUCUUACCAAGGCAACGAUGCGUAGCCUACCUGAAAGGGUGCUCGGCCCCCCUGGAAGUGAGACACGGUCCAGACUCCUACGGCAGGCAACAGUCGGGAAUCUUCCGUAAUGGGCGCAAGCUCGCAGGAGCAACGCCGCAUACGUGAUGAAGGUCUUCGGCUCGUAAAACUCUGUUAUUCGGGACGACCAAGUGUGUAAGUAAAUAUGCACGUCUUGACGGUACCUAAUCAGAAAGCCAGCCAUAACUACGUG
rnacentral:rRNA from 1 species